rnacentral:rRNA from 1 species
CCUACGGGUGGCAGCAGUCGAGAAUCAUUCACAAUGGGGGAAACCCUGAUGGUGCGAUGCCGCGUGGGGGAAUGAAGGUCUUCGGAUUGUAAAUCCUUGUCUUGUGGGGGCAAAUUAAAAAGAUAGUACCACAAGAGGAAGAGACGCGUACCUCUGUGCCAGCAGCCGCGGUAAUACAGGGGUCUCAAGCGUUGUUCGAAAUCACUGGGCGUAAGGCGUGCGUAGGCUGUUUCGUAAGUCGUGUGUGAAAGGCGCGGGCUCAAGCCGCGGACGGCACAUGAUACUGCGAGACUAGAGUAAUGGAGGGGGAACCGGAAUGCGCGGUGUAGCAGUGAAAUGCGUAGAUAUC